rnacentral:tRNA from 1 species
AGCCAAUGAACUUGAACAAGUGUAUACUUUGAAAGUAUAAAAUAGAGUAUAGCCUCUAUUGGCUU